ACAGCCGCCGGGAGCCCAGGGCCGAGACGGGAGGAGGGCACCCACCUGGUCGGUGUCACAUGCUGCUUCGGCCCCAGCGUCCCCUCCAGGUCCCGGCGCCGGCCGCAGUCCCCAGAGCCGUCCCCAGCGCAGGCCCGGCCGCCCCACCCGCGGCCCGCCCCUGGCCGCCCGACGGGAGGGAGGGAUCGGGUUCUCCUAGGAAGUUUCAGUAUGCAUUCUUAGAAACCAGAUAUACAAAGACAAGAUCUCUGCUUUCAAGAAGCUCUCAAUCUGAUUGAGGAGAGAAACAGGUAGCAAAUAAUGGCAGCAGAGCAUGACGGAGUCUCGCUCUGUCACCCAGGCUGGAGUGCAGUGGCGGGAUCUCGGCUCACUGCAAGCUCCGCCUCCCGGGUUCACGCCAUUCUCCUGCCUCAGCCUCCCAAGUAGCUGGGACUACAGGCGCCCGCCACUACGCCCGGCUAAUUUUUUUGUAUUUUUAGUAGAGACGGGGUUUCACCGUUUUAGCCGGGAUGGUCUCGAUCUCCUGACCUCGUGAUCCGCCCGCCUCGGCCUCCCAAAGUGCUGGGAUUACAGGCGUGAGCCACCGCGCCCGGCCGUGCUGACUGUUUUUUGAAGAUAAAAUGAUCAAGUCAGAUUUGAAGAAUUGACUGUUGGAGGUCAUUCAACAUUUAUUCAACCAAAAAUACUAAGUCAGCUCUAUACAAACUAAUGGAAGGAUACAGCUAUGCAAAUAUAGAACACUAAAGUGUUACAUGACAGAUGUAUGAGUCUUGGAUAUGUCUUUAUCAGCAGUAUGAAAACUGACUAAUACAGUAAAUUGGUACCAGUGGAGUGGGGCGCUGCUGAAAAGAUACCUGAAAAUGUGGAAGCGACUUUGGAACUGGGUAACAGGCAGAGGUUGAAACAGUUUGGAGGGCUCAGAAGAAGACAAGAAAAUGUGGGAAAGUUUGGAACUUCCUAAAGACUUGUUGAAUGGCUUUGACAAAAAUGCUGAUACUGCUAUGGACAAUAAGGUCCAGGCUGAGGUGGUCUCAGAUGGAGAUGAGGAACUUGUAGGGAACUGGAACAAAGAUGACUGUUGUUAUGUUUUAGCAAAGAGACUGGUGGCAUUUUGCCCCUACCAUAGAGAUUUGUGGAACUUUGAUCUUGAGAGAGGUGAUUUAGGGUAUCUGGCUGAAGAAAUUUCUAAGCAGCAAAGCAUUCAAGAGGUGAUUUGGGUGCUGUUAAAAGCAUUUCAUUUUAAAAGGGAAACAGCAUAAAAAUUUGGAAAAUUUGCAGCCAGUUGAUGCAGCAGAAGAGAGAAACCUGUUUUUUGAGGAGAAAUUCAAGCUGGCUGCAGAAAUUUGCAUAAGUUACAGGGAGCUGAAUGUUAAUCUCCAAGACAAUGGGGAAAAUGUCUCCAGGGCAUGUCACAGGUCUUCAUGGCAGCCCCUCCCAUCACAGACCCUGAAGACUAGGAGGAAAAAAUGGUUUUGUGGGCCAGGCCCAGGGUCCCCAUGCUGUGUGCAGCCUAGGGACUUGGUGCCCUGCAUCCCAGCUGCUCCAGCCAUUGCUAAAAGGGCCGAGGUACAGCUCUGCCCGUGGUUUCAGAGGGUGCAAGCCCCAAACCUUGGCAGCUUCCAUGUGGUGUUGAGCCUGCAGGUGCAUGGAAGUCAAGAAUUGAGGUUUGGGAACCUCCAUCUAGAUUUCAGAAGAUGUAUGGAAUCACCUGGAUGCUCAGGCAAAAGUUUGCUCCAGGGGCAGAGCCUUCAUGGAGAACCUCUGCUAGGGCAGUGUGAAGGGAAAUGUGGGGUUGGAGCCCCCACACAGAAUCCCUACUGGGGCACCACCUAGUGGAGCUGUGCAAAGAAGGCCACCGUCCUUCAGACCCCAGAAUGGUAGAUCCACCGACAGCUUGUACCGUGCACCUGGAAAAGCCACAGACCCUAAACGCCAGCCCGUGAAAGCAGCCAGGAGUGGGGACUAUACCCUGUGAAGCCACAGGGGCAGAGCUGCCCAAGACUAAGGGAACCUACCUCUUGCAUCAUUGUGACCUGGAUGUGAGACAUGGAGUCAGAGGAGAUCAUUUUGGAACGUUAUAAUUUGACUGCCUCGCUGGAUUUUGGACUUGCAUGGGGCUUGUAACGCCUUUGUUGUGGGCACUUUCUCCCAUUUGGAAUGGCUGUAUUUACCCAUUACCUGUAUCCCCAUUGUAUGUAGGAAGUAACUAGCUUGCUUUUGAUUUUACAGGAUCAUGGGUAGAAGGGACUUGCCUUGUUUCAGAUGAGACUUUGGACUACGGACUUUUGGGUUAAUGCUGAGAUGAGUUAAGACUUUGGGGGACUGUUUGGAAGGCAUGAUUGGUUUUGAAAUGUGAGAACAUGAGAUUUGGAGGGGCCAGGGGCAGAAUGAUAUGGUUUGGCUGUGCCCCCACCCAAAUCUCAACUUGAAUUGUUAUCUCCCAGAAUUCCCAGGUGUUGUGGGAGGGACCCAGGGGGAGGUAAUUGAAUCAUGGGGGCCGGUCUUUCCCAUGCUAUUUUUGUGAUAGUGAAUAAGUCUCAGGAGAUCUGAUGGGUUUAUCAGGAGUUUCUGCUUUUGUUUCUCUCUCAUUGUCUCUUGCCGCUGCCAUAUAAGAAGUACCUUUUGCCUCCCACUGUGAUUCUGAGGCCUCCCCAGCCAUGUGCAACUGUAAGUCCAAUGAAACCUCUUUUUCUCCUCAGUUUUGGGUAUGUCUUUAUCAGCAGCGUGAAAAUGGACUAAUACGAUCACCCUCUUCUUUGUUCUCCUUUCUAUUUCAUCUCUAAUUUUUUUUGGCAUUUGGAGGGUGCUAUACAUUGCAAAAGUUGGGGACUCACUAAUUCCACUGCUCACUGUAUAUCAAGGUAAUCUGUCAGGGGUUUGGUUUUAUAUAAGAAACAAAUGAGUCCCCAGAACAUACAAGUUAAGAUUAUUCAAUCAAGGGAGGCAGUCAUUACCCUUUAACCUCUGAAAGAAAACUGCAAGUAGGCAUCAAACUAACCCUGAGAUGGGAGAGAGUAGAAGUUCCCACACCCAGUGAAUUGUAGGACAUUAGGUAAUUAUUGGUGGGAAGUAAAUUUGAGUGGGGAACUGAAUUUCAACUGACUUUUAUCCUUGAAGAUGGUGCUUCUAUUUUCUCAAAUUAGAAGGUUAUGAAAAUUGCAUCUGAACAACAAGUUGUAUUAGCAUAAGUUCUAGAAGAAACUGAGAAAGCAAGGCUAGUCUGAGGAAAAUUUAUACCGCUCACAUUUCCCUUCUGAAUUGGAGAAUAGAAUUGAAUAGCAAAAUUGUAACCUACCUUUCAAAGAUGCAUUUUAUAGUGAAGUAUAUUUUGUGAACUUUUAUAUCUUCUAUUCUUAUUUUUCUAUUGCCCUAUUUUAAAAUCUAUCUUGAAUUUAUUAAAUGUAUAUGUCUC
ensembl:lncRNA ARHGEF35-AS1 ARHGEF35 antisense RNA 1